GGGAGAGGCAGAUGGAAUUGGUGGUGUAGGGGUAAAAUCCGUAGAGAUCACCAGGAAUACCCAUUGCGAAGGCGAUCUGCUGGAACUCAACUGACGCUAAUGCGUGAAAGCGUGGGGAGCAAACAGGAUUAGAUACCCUGGUAGUCCACGCCCUAAACGAUGUAUACUAGUUGUUGCUAAGCUAGUCUUGGCAGUAAUGCACCUAACGGAUUAAGUAUACCGCCUGGGGAGUACGGUCGCAAGAUUAAAACUCAAAGGAAUAGACGGGGACCCGCACAAGCGGUGGAGCAUGUGGUUUAAUUCGAAGAUACGCGAAGAACCUUACCCGGACUUGAUAUCUAACAAAUCAUCUAGAGAUAGAAGAGUGUCUGCUUGCAGAAAUGUUAAGACAGGUGCUGCACGGCUGUCGUCAGCUCGUGUCGUGAGAUGUUGGGUUAAGUCCCGCAACGAGCGCAACCCCACGUCAUUAGUUGCUAACAGUUCGGCUGAGCACUCUAUGAGACUGCCUUCGUAAGGAGGAGGAAGGUGUGGACGACGUCAGUCAUCAUGGCCCUUAUGUC
rnacentral:rRNA from 1 species